rnacentral:rRNA from 1 species
AGAGUUUGAUCAUGGCUCAGGAUGAACGCUGGCGGCGUGCCUAAUACAUGCAAGUCGAACGAGAAACAGACAAAACUUCGGUGGCGUCUGGAGUAAAGUGGCGAACGGGUGAGUAACACGUAGCUGACCUGCCCUCAGGAGGGGGAUAACGCAUCGAAAGGUGUGCUAAAACCCCAUAAGCUCACAGGAGUUAGACAACAGUGAGAAAAGACUCUGGUGCCUGAGGAGGGGGCUGCGGCCCAUCAGCUAGUUGGUAGGGUAAAGGCCUACCAAGGCAAAGACGGGUAGGGGGCCUGAGAGGGUGGUCCCCCACAUGGGAACUGAGACACGGUCCCAACUCCUACGGGAGGCAGCAGUAAGGAAUAUUGCGCAAUGGGCGAAAGCCUGACGCGGCAACGCCGCGUGCCUGAAGAAGGCCUUCGGGUCGUAAAAGGCUUUUCUGGUCGAAGAGGAAGGACAGUAGGCCAGGAAUAAGUGUCGGCUAACUACGUGCCAGCAGCCGCGGUAAAACGUAGGACGCAAGCGUUAUCCGGAUUUACUGGGCGUAAAGCGCAGGCAGGCGGACAUGCAAGUUGGCUGUGAAAGCGCCCGGCUCAACUGGGCGAGGCCAGUCAAAACUGCAUGACUGGAGGGCAGUAGAGGAACGUAGAAUUCCGGGUGGAGUGGUGAAAUGCGUAGAUAUCCGGAGGAAUACCAGAGGCGAAGGCGACGUUCUGGACUGGCCCUGACGCUGAGCUGCGAAAGCAUGGGUAGCGAACGGGAUUAGAAACCCCGGUAGUCCAUGCCGUAAACGAUGUUCACUAAACGUCGGUGCGAAAGGCAUCGGUGUUGAAGCAAACGCGAUAAGUGAACCGCCUGGGGAGUACGGCCGCAAGGCUAAAACUCAAAGGAAUUGACGGGGGCCCGCACAAGCAGCGGAGCGUGUGGUUUAAUUCGAGGCAACGCGAAGAACCUUACCUGGGUUUGACAUGCUAGUAGUAGUGAACCGAAAGGGGAACGACCUUCGGGAGCUAGCACAGGUGCUGCAUGGCUGUCGUCAGCUCGUGCCGUGAGGUGUUCGGUUAAGUCCGCAAACGAGCGCAACCCCUAUCGUCAGUUACAAGUGUCUGACGAGACUGCCGCCGGGAAGGUGGAGGAAGGUGGGGAUGACGUCAAGUCAGCAUGGCCUUUAUGUCCAGGGCGACACACACGCUACAAUGGCUGGUACACAGGGCAGCGAAGCCGCGAGGUGGAGCGAAUCUCAGAAAGCCAGUCGAAGUUCGGAUUGCAGGCUGCAACCCGCCUGCAUGAAGUCGGAGUUGCUAGUAACCGUGGGUCAGCCACACCACGGUGAAUACGUUCCCGGGCCUUGUACACACCGCCCGUCACGUCAUGGGAGCUGGUAACACCUGAAGUCGGUAGGCUAACCGCAAGGAGGCAGCCGCCAAAGGUGGGGCCGGUGACUGGGACGAAGUCGUAACAAGGUAGCCGUA